rnacentral:misc_RNA from 1 species
UGUGGGAGCUGGCUUGCCAGCGAUGGCAUCGCCUUGGCAUUUGUUGGUCACCGCGGCGUCUGCAUCGCUGGCAAGCCAGCUCCCACA